rnacentral:rRNA from 2 species
GCUGAUGCGUUGUUGGGUAGGGGAGCGUUCUGUAAGCCUGCGAAGGUGACCUGUGAGGGUUGCUGGAGGUAUCAGAAGUGCGAAUGCUGACAUAAGUAACGAUAAAGCGGGUGAAAAGCCCGCUCGCCGGAAGACCAAGGGUUCCUGUCCAACGUUAAUCGGGGCAGGGUGAGUCGACCCCUAAGGCGAGGCCGAAAGGCGUAGUCGAUGGGAAACGGGUUAAUAUUCCCGUACUUGGUGUUACUGCGAAGGGGGGACGGAGAAGGCUAUGUUGGCCGGGCGACGGUUGUCCCGGUUUAAGCGUGUAGGUGUGUGUUCCAGGUAAAUCCGGUUCACUUUAACACUGAGGCGUGAUGACGAGGCACUACGGUGCUGAAGCAACAAAUGCCCUGCUUCCAGGAAAAGCCUCUAAGCAUCAGGUAACAUCAAAUCGUACCCCAAACCGACACAGGUGGUCAGGUAGAGAAUACCAAGGCGCUUGAGAGAACUCGGGUGAAGGAACUAGGCAAAAUGGUGCCGUAACUUCGGGAGAAGGCACGCUGACACGUAGGUGAAGUGAUUUACUCACGGAGCUGAAGUCAGUCGAAGAUACCAGCUGGCUGCAACUGUUUAUUAAAAACACAGCACUGUGCAAACACGAAAGUGGACGUAUACGGUGUGACGCCUGCCCGGUGCCGGAAGGUUAAUUGAUGGGGUCAGCGCAAGCGAAGCUCCUGAUCGAAGCCCCGGUAAACGGCGGCCGUAACUAUAACGGUCCUAAGGUAGCGAAAUUCCUUGUCGGGUAAGUUCCGACCUGCACGAAUGGCGUAAUGAUGGCCAGGCUGUCUCCACCCGAGACUCAGUGAAAUUGAACUCGCUGUGAAGAUGCAGUGUACCCGCGGCAAGACGGAAAGACCCCGUGAACCUUUACUAUAGCUUGACACUGAACAUUGAGCCUUGAUGUGUAGGAUAGGUGGGAGGCUUUGAAGUGUGGACGCCAGUCUGCAUGGAGCCGACCUUGAAAUACCACCCUUUAAUGUUUGAUGUUCUAACGUGGACCCGUAAUCCGGGUUGCGGACAGUGUCUGGUGGGUAGUUUGACUGGGGCGGUCUCCUCCUAAAGAGUAACGGAGGAGCACGAAGGUUGGCUAAUCCUGGUCGGACAUCAGGAGGUUAGUGCAAUGGCAUAAGCCAGCUUGACUGCGAGCGUGACGGCGCGAGCAGGUGCGAAAGCAGGUCAUAGUGAUCCGGUGGUUCUGAAUGGAAGGGCCAUCGCUCAACGGAUAAAAGGUACUCCGGGGAUAACAGGCUGAUACCGCCCAAGAGUUCAUAUCGACGGCGGUGUUUGGCACCUCGAUGUCGGCUCAUCACAUCCUGGGGCUGAAGUAGGUCCCAAGGGUAUGGCUGUUCGCCAUUUAAAGUGGUACGCGAGCUGGGUUUAGAACGUCGUGAGACAGUUCGGUCCCUAUCUGCCGUGGGCGCUGGAGAACUGAGGGGGGCUGCUCCUAGUACGAGAGGACCGGAGUGGACGCAUCACUGGUGUUCGGGUUGUCAUGCCAAUGGCACUGCCCGGUAGCUAAAUGCGGAAGAGAUAAGUGCUGAAAGCAUCUAAGCACGAAACUUGCCCCGAGAUGAGUUCUCCCUGAGACUUAGAGUCUC